rnacentral:rRNA from 1 species
UACGGGGGGGGCAAGCGUUGUUCGGAAUUACUGGGCGUAAAGGGCUCGUAGGCGGCCAACUAAGUCAGACGUGAAAUCCCCAGGCUCAACCUGGGAACUGCGUCUGAUACUGGAUGGCUUGAAUCCGGGAGAGGGAUGCAGAAUUCCAGGUGUAGCGGUGAAAUGCGUAGAUAUCUGGAGGAAUACCGGUGGCGAAGGCGGCAUCCUGGACCGGCAUUGACGCUGAGGAGCGAGAGCCAGGGGAGCAAACGGG